rnacentral:rRNA from 1 species
GUGUGCGAUCAUAUUAGUACGAAUGGAUCGGAUCCCAUCAGAACUUCGAAGUUAAGCGUGCUUAGGUGAGAAUGGUACUAAGCCGAGCUUUGUCGCAGGAC